GAUGAAGAACGUAGCGAAAUGCGAUAAGUAGUGUGAAUUGCAGAAUUCAGUGAAUCAUCGAAUCUUUGAACGCACCUUGCACCCUUUGUCAUUCCGAAGGGUAUGCUCGUUUGAGUGUCAUUGUACUCUCACACUUCCAAUCUUUGGAUUGGGAGCAGUGGACUUGGGUGUUGCUGCUUACUGUGGCUCACCUCAAAUCGAUUCGUGCACCUCUUGGUUGGACAUAGUACGGCGUGAUAAGUGUCUUCGACGGCAACUCAGUAGAGGGUGGCUGAUCAGGAGCUCUGUGCUUCAAACCGUCCUCGGACAACAACUGACAACUUGACCUCAAAUCGAGUAGGACUACCCGCUGAACUUAAGCAUAUCAAUAAGCGGAGGA
rnacentral:misc_RNA from 1 species